rnacentral:misc_RNA from 1 species
AAGUCGUAACAAGGUCUCCGUAGGUGAACCUGCGGAGGGAUCAUUACCGAGCGAGGGCCCCCGGGCCCGACCUCCCACCCCUUGCAACACAACCAAUUGCCUCGGGGGCGACCCGGCCGUCCGGCCGUCCGCCCCCGGUGGAUCCCCAACGCUGCAUCCUUGCGUCGGAGUCCAAUGAUAAAUUAAAUCAAAACUUUCAACAACGGAUCUCUUGGUUCUG